UCUAGACCCGAAGCGGUGUGAUCUAUCCAUGGCCAGGAUGAAGCGUCGGUAAGACGUCGUGGAGGUCCGAACCCACUUCAGUUGAAAAUGGAGGGGAUGAGUUGUGGAUAGGGGUGAAAGGCCAAUCAAACACCGUGAUAGCUGGUUCUCCCCGAAAUGCAUUUAGGUGCAGCGUUGCGUGGUUCUUGUUGGAGGUAGAGCACUGGAUGGUCUAGGGGGCUUAUCGGCUUACCGAAAUCAGCCAAACUCCGAAUGCUGGCAAGUGUAGCGUGGCAGUGAGACGGCGGGGGAUAAGCUUCGUCGUCGAGAGGGAAACAGCCCAGAUCAUCAGCUAAGGCCCCUAAGUGGUGACUCAGUGGGAAAGGAUGUGGAGUUGCGUAGACAACCAGGAGGUUGGCUUGGAAGCAGCCAUCCUUGAAAGAGUGCGUAAUAGCUCACUGGUCAAGUGAUUCCGCGCCGAUAAUGUAGCGGGGCUUAAGUUAUCCGCCGAAGCUGUGGCAACCUGUGUGGUUGGGUAGGGGAGCGUCGUGUCAGUGGUGAAGCUGCCGGGUGACUGUGUGGUGGAGUUGAUGCGAGUGAGAAUGCAGGCAUGAGUAGCGUGUGACGGGUGGGAAUCCCGUCCGCCGAUUAUCCAAGGGUUCCAGGGUCAAGUUUGUCUGCCCUGGGUGAGUCGGGUCCUAAGGCGAGGCCGACAGGCGUAGUCGAUGGGUAACCAGUUGAUAUUCUGGUACCGGCUUGUCACCGUCCGUGUCGAGGUGUGUGAUGCUAAGCAUGUGAGCUUGUCUUGGGAGUGUUUUUGAUGCUUCUGGGGUGGGUGAGUGUGUGAACCGAUCAUGUAGUAGGCAAGCUGCGGAGGGACGCAGUGAGGUAGCUCAUCCCCGGUGAUGGUUGUCCGGGGCUAAGUGUGUGGACUGUCUGGUAGGUAAAUCCGCUGGGCGUGAAGGUUGAGGCAUGAUGGGGAGCCCAUGGUUGUGGGUGAGUGAGUGAUCCUGUACUGUCGAGAAAAGCUUCGUGAGCGAGGUGGCGGGUCCGCCCGUACCCUAAACCGACACUGGUGGAUAGGUAGAGUAUACCGAGGCGAUCGAGUGAAUCGUGGUGAAGGAACUCGGCAAAAUGCCCCCGUAACUUUGGGAUAAGGGGGACCUGAGCUGUCGUGCACCCGUGCGGUGUGGUGGCGGUGAGGGGCGCAGAGUCCAGGGGGAAACGACUGUUUACCAAAAACACAGGUCCGUGCGAAGUCGUAAGACGAUGUAUACGGACUGACUCCUGCCCGGUGCUGGAAGGUUAAGGGGAACUGUGAGUGUAUGCGUAGCGGUGAACUUAAGCCCCAGUAAACGGCGGUGGUAACUAUAACCAUCCUAAGGUAGCGAAAUUCCUUGUCGGGUAAGUUCCGACCUGCACGAAUGGAGUAACGAUUUCCCUACUGUCUCCACCAUGAACUCGGUGAAAUUGCAUUACGAGUAAAGAUGCUCGUUACGCGCAGCAGGACGGAAAGACCCCGGGACCUU
rnacentral:rRNA from 1 species